rnacentral:rRNA from 1 species
UACGAAGGGGGCUAGCGUUGCUCGGAAUGACUGGGCGUAAAGGGCGCGUAGGCGGAUGGCACAGUCAGAUGUGAAAUUCCCGGGCUUAACCUGGGGGCUGCAUUUGAUACGUGUGAUCUAGAGUGAGGAAGAGGGUCGUGGAAUUCCCAGUGUAGAGGUGAAAUUCGUAGAUAUUGGGAAGAACACCGGGUGGCGAAGGCGGCGACCUGGUCCUUGACUGACGCUGAGGCGCGAAAGCGUGGGGGAGCAAACAGG